AGUGAACGCUGGCGGUCGGCCUAACACAUGCAAGUCGAACGGCAGCACAGUAAGAGCUUGCUCUUACGGGUGGCGAGUGGCGGACGGGUGAGGAAUACAUCGGAAUCUACUUUUUCGUGGGGGAUAACGUAGGGAAACUUACGCUAAUACCGCAUACGACCUACGGGUGAAAGCAGGGGAUCUUCGGACCUUGCGCGAUUGAAUGAGCCGAUGUCGGAUUAGCUAGUUGGCGGGGUAAAGGCCCACCAAGGCGACGAUCCGUAGCUGGUCUGCGAGGAUGAUCAGCCACACUGGAACUGAGACACGGGCCAGACUCCUACGGGAGGCAGCAGUGGGGAAUAGUGGACAAUGGGCGCAAGCCUGAUCCAGCCAUACCGCGUGGGUGAAGAAGGCCUUCGGUUUGUAAAGCCCUUUUGUUGGGAAAGAAAAGCAGCAGGUUAAUACCCCGCUGUUCUGACGGUACCCAAAGAAUAAGCACCGGCUAACUUCGUG
rnacentral:rRNA from 1 species